rnacentral:rRNA from 1 species
AACGAACGCUGGCGGCAUGCCUAACACAUGCAAGUCGAACGAGACCUUCGGGUCUAGUGGCGCACGGGUGCGUAACGCGUGGGAACCUGCCCUUAGGUUCGGUAUAACUCCCCGAAAGGGGUGCUAAUACCGGAUAAUGUCUUCGGACCAAAGAUUUAUCGCCUUUGGAUGGGCCCGCGUUGGAUUAGCUAGUUGGUAGGGUAAAAGCCUACCAAGGCGACGUUCCAUAGCUGGUCUGAGAGGAUGAUCAGCCACACUGGGACUGAGACACGGCCCAGACUCCUACGGGAGGGAGCAGUGGGGAAUAUUGGACGAUGGGCGCAAGCCUGAUACAGCAAUGCCGGGUGAGUGAUGAAGGCCUUAGGGUUGUAAAGCUCUUUUACCCGGGAUGAUAAUGACAGUACCGGGAGAAUAAGCUCCGGCUAACUCCGUG